UGUUCUGUGGCUUAAUAGUUUGUUAAAGUGCCGGUCUAGCGAACACGGAGUCGUGGGUUCGAAUCCCACAUGAACGC
rnacentral:tRNA from 1 species